GAAACUCUUCACGCAAACAAAUAUGCCAAGCUCCUCACACCGAACCAAACUCCUGAAGUCGCAACCCUAAUCUCGUACCCUCCUCACAUGAACUCUCUUCAGGCCGAUUCUCUAUCACACGCGCCAACCCUAAGCCUCCUCUCUUUGGUGAAGCCCUCUCUGCGAAGCCCACUCUCUGGUGAAGCCCUGUCCGACCAAGCCCUCUCCACCUAAUUGAACAUCUUCGUCGAGAUUUUUUUUUGGCGCUCUUGCAAUUCUUGUCUUUCUCAGGUCGUUCUCUAUGAUCGAGUGCGUUUUGGGACACUAUCUAUUGCAGAAGAUUCAAAUGUUUUAAAUUUUUGGGUUGGAAGGGCAUGAUGUCGAGCGGAGAAGUCAAGAAGGUAUCUCGUCAAGAUAUACAACUAAUAUCAUUAUGGCAGAGCAGCAGCCUAUAGCACCACAUGGCUACAAGGCCCUUAGAGUCGUCAGGGACUCGUACACAUUUUUUCUUAUUAAUAAUUCAAGUUCAUAUAUAAUUGAUUUCUUUUAACUUAAUAUUAUUUCGUGCAGGUUCACUCCUGAUGGCCACCAAGUUGCCACAUAUAUCCCUGGAAAAUUCAAAGAACGAGUUAGCGCGUCUGGUAUUACAUGGAGGCAUGUAGACCAGGAGAUGAAGCUAUUUUAUUAUAAUGAAUUUAUGAAAAGAUAUACAUGGGAGGACAGGCAUGAAGAAGAAUUUAAAGCUACAUGGAAUACAUACUGUGCCAAACUGUACAGAGAUCAUAUGUAUUACAUGAGAAAGAAGGGCACUAGACCUGCGUAUGUUUCUGAGGUGAUAUGGAGUGCAUGGAUGACCACCUGGGCUGUAGAAAGGUGGCAAACAAAUGUUGAAAAGGAAAAAAUAAAUAGAAAUACAGAACCAGGUGGCCCGAGCACCAGAACCGCUCGGCAUACGUCAGGAUCCAGAUCUAUUGUUGAGUAUACCAUGGAUCUGGAACGUGAGCUUGCCCGACAUCCCACAUGUAUGGAGGUCUUUCUCAAGACCCACAAGAAGAAGGAUGUGCUAUUUAUUGAUUCUUGAUCUCAGACUCUACAUAAAGGGCGGCUCAGGCAUCUCAGCCAUCAGCAGAGGGGGGAGAGUCACAGUUUUUAUCCACCGAUGCUCUAAAUGAGAUUUAUUAUGAUACUGUCGGUGGAAGGACAAAAAACUCUACCCUCUACAACCUUGGCUCUCAAGCCAAAGUUGCAUUUGAUUGUCUGAGAAAUCCGACAGAUCAUGCUAGUUCCUCUUCUUCUAGUGAGAUGCAGUCUUUAAGAUGUGAAAAUCAAGAACUACACACUUAAUUGAAAUCAAUGGAUCAGAGGAUGACUGAUAUAGAUCAGUGGAGAGCUGAUGAGGAGAAGAGGAGAGUCGAACGUGACAAGAGUAAUGAAGCUCUGAUAGCCCAGAUGCAAGAGAUCGUGGCUAAUUUUACUCAGGCAUCACAUGGUUUUGAGUCACAGGAGACUCAAGAUCCAUCAGACGGUGAUGAUUAGCAUUUUCUGAGGAAUCACGUUCGGUUCUAUUUACAUAUUGGCUCUUCAUAUCAUCAUAUGCUCAUUUUUGUUUAGGAUUUCCAUUUCCAGCAUUAUCUUGUAUUCUUGUAUUAUUUUGAGUACUUUACACUAUGGUAUGUAUUCUGUAAACUUGGAUUUAUAUAUGACUAUUUGUAUUUAUAUUCUGCAGAAUUGUUUAGUUUAA